GAUGAACGCUGGCGGCGUGCCUAAUACAUGCAAGUCGAGCGAACAGACGAGGAGCUUGCUCCUCUGACGUUAGCGGCGGACGGGUGAGUAACACGUGGAUAACCUACCUAUAAGACUGUGAUAACUUCGGGAAACCGGAGCUAAUACCGGAUAAUAUAUUGAACCGCAUGGUUCAAUAGUGAAAGACGGUUUUGCUGUCACUUAUAGAUGGAUCCGCGCCGCAUUAUCUAGUUGGUAAGGUAACGGCUUACCAAGGCAACGAUGCGUAGCCGACCUGAGAGGGUGAUCGGCCACACUGGAACUGAGAAACGGUCCAGAAUCCUACGGGAGGCAGCAGUAGGGAAUAUUCCGCAAUGGGCGAAAGCUUGACGGAGCAACGCCGCGUGAGUGAUGAAGAUCUUCGGAUCGUAAAACUCUGUUAUUAGGGAAGAACAAAUGUGUAAGUAAAUAUGCACGUAUUAAAGGUACCUAAUCAGAAAGACACGGCUAACUACGUG
rnacentral:rRNA from 1 species